CUCGAUACAGCGGCGGACGGGUGAGUAAUACAUGGGAAUCUGCCUGGUAGUGGGGGACAACGUUUCGAAAGGAACGCUAAUACCGCAUACGCCCUACGGGGGAAAGGGGGGGAUCUUCGGACCUCUCGCUAUCAGAUGAGCCCAUGUCAGAUUAGCUUGUUGGUGAGGUAAAGGCUCACCAAGGCGACGACGGGUAGCUGGUCUGAGAGGAUGGUCAGCCACACUGGGACUGAGACACGGCCCAGACUCC
rnacentral:rRNA from 1 species